rnacentral:ncRNA from 1 species
UAUCUUCAGGGCGAGGCGAAACUCCUCACCGGCGGUAAAGUCCGCGAGCCGAAAGGUUGAUUUGGUUAGAUUCCAAAACCGACAGUAUAGUCUGGAUGAAAGAAGAUG